GAAGGUCUUCUCCAACAUGUUUUGGUCUACUCUCAUCCUCGCCGUCAACUAUUUCUGCACAUGUUGUUAUGGUCAGUAUGUUCUGAACCAACCUUCUGAAAUGACGGCAAAACCGGGAGAGACUAUUAAAGUAACAUGUUCAGGGGAGAGUCUUUCUAGAAAGUAUUAUGUUAGCUGGUAUCAGCAAAAAAGUGGCAGUGCCCCUCGUCUUCUUAUUUAUAAAGAUAAGGAAAAGGCAACAGGAACACCAGACCGUUUCUCUGGAGAUAGUUCUAAUGAUGUGGGCACUCUGACCAUCUCUGGAGUUCAUGCUGAAGAUGAGGCUGCAUAUUACUGUUUUACUGGAGAUAGCACUACAGGCUUGCGCACAGUUAUAAACACCAACAGACAAGUAGUACAAUAACAUGCUUGUAUCAUGAAUGCAAUCAUCCUGAGCAAAAGAGUGAAACGUAUCA